AUUGCACUCCGGAUGUGCUGACC
rnacentral:piRNA from 1 species